UCACACUGUCGAGAGAGGUUGUGCGGAGAACGAGCAGGAAGUCAGCUGAUGGUUUUUAAAAACACACAAAGAAAUGAUUGGCAGUCAACAUCCAAUUAUCCACCAAUCAGUCCCCAACUCCCAAUUCGGAUUUUGUAUCCUAACUUUAAUUUUUCCGGAAUCAGUGCUGUAAUAGACUCUGAAAUUUCCCAGCCCCAAAAACCUUAAACUAUGUACAUGGUCUCUACUUUUUGAAAUCCUAUCAUAAACAUUAAGGUGGCAAUG